rnacentral:rRNA from 1 species
UACGGAGGGUGCGAGCGUUAAUCGGAAUUACUGGGCGUAAAGGGUGCGUAGGUGGUUGGCUAAGUUAUCUGUGAAAUUUCUGGGCUUAACCUAGGGAGGUCAGAUAAGACUGGUUGACUCGAGUAUGGGAGAGGGUAGUGGAAUUUCCGGUGUAGCGGUGAAAUGCGUAGAGAUCGGAAGGAACACCAGUGGCGAAGGCGGCUACCUGGCCUAAUACUGACACUGAGGCACGAAAGCGUGGGGAGCAAACAGG